rnacentral:rRNA from 1 species
CGGCGGACGGGUGAGUAACGCGUGGGUAACCUGCCUCAUACAGGGGGAUAACAGUUGGAAACGGCUGCUAAUACCGCAUAAGCGCACAGUACCGCAUGGUACCGUGUGAAAAACUCCGGUGGUAUGAGAUGGACCCGCGUCUGAUUAGCUAGUUGGUGGGGUAACGGCCUACCAAGGCGACGAUCAGUAGCCGACCUGAGAGGGUGACCGGCCACAUUGGGACUGAGACACGGCCCAG